rfam:Sorghum bicolor cultivar BTx623 chromosome 5, whole genome shotgun sequence.
AAGCUUGAAGAUGACGAGCUUGUCUCGUAUAUUCUCACUGGGCUGGACCUGGACUUCAAUCCAGUUGUCUCAGCAGUGAGCGCCAGAGUGGAACCAAUUACGGUGGCAGAGCUGUACACACAGCUCACAAGCUUUGAAC